AUUGAACGCUGGCGGCAGGCCUAACACAUGCAAGUCGAACGAGUGGCGGACGGGUGAGUAAUGUCUGGGAAACUGCCUGAUGGAGGGGGAUAACUACUGGAAACGGUAGCUAAUACCGCAUACCAUCAGAUGUGCCCAGAUGGGAUUAGCUAGUUGGUGGGGUAAAGGCUAACCAAGGCGACGAUCCAUAGCUGGUCUGAGAGGAUGACCAGCAACUCGGUAACUGGGACACGGUCCAGACUCCUACGGGAGGCAGCAGUGGGGAAUAUUGCACAAUGGGCGAAAGCCUGAUGCAGCCAUGCCGGGUGUAUGAAGAAGGCCUUCGGGUUGUAAAUUACGUUCAGCGGGGAGGCGUUACCCGCAGAAGAAGCACCGGCUAACUCCGUGCCAGCAGCCGCGGUAAUUC
rnacentral:rRNA from 1 species